UACGUAGGGUGCAAGCGUUAAUCGGAAUUACUGGGCGUAAAGCGUGCGCAGGCGGUUAUGCAAGACAGAUGUGAAAUCCCCGGGCUCAACCUGGGAACUGCAUUUGUGACUGCAUGGCUAGAGUGCGGCAGAGGGGGAUGGAAUUCCGCGUGUAGCAGUGAGAUGCGUAGAUAUGCGGAGGAACACCGAUGGCGAAGGCAAUCCCCUGGGCCUGCACUGACGCUCAUGCACGAAAGCGUGGGGAGCAAACAGG
rnacentral:rRNA from 1 species